AACGAACGCUGGCGGCAUGCCUAACACAUGCAAGUCGAACGAGACCUUCGGGUCUAGUGGCGCACGGGUGCGUAACGCGUGGGAACCUGCCCUUAGGUUCGGAAUAACUCCCCGAAAGGGGUGCUAAUACCGGAUAAUGUCUUCGGACCAAAGAUUUAUCGCCUUUGGAUGGGCCCGCGUUGGAUUAGCUAGUUGGUAGGGUAAAAGCCUACCAAGGCGACGAUCCAUAGCUGGUCUGAGAGGAUGAUCAGCCACACUGGGACUGAGACACGGCCCAGACUCCUACGGGAGGCAGCAGUGGGGAAUAUUGGACAAUGGGCGAAAGCCUGAUCCAGCAAUGCCGCGUGAGUGAUGAAGGCCGUAGGGUUGUAAAGCUCUUUUACCCGGGAUGAUAAUGAUAGUACCGGGAGAAUAAGCUCCGGCUAACUCCGUG
rnacentral:rRNA from 1 species